CUAGCGAGACUGCCGGUAAUAAACCGGAGGAAGGUGGGGAUGACGUCAAAUCAUCAUGCCCCUUAUGACCUGGGCUACACACCGUGCUACAAUGGUUGGUACAACGAGUUGCGAGUCGGUGACGGCGAGCUAAUCUCUUAAAGCCAAUCUCAGUUCGGAUUGUAGGCUGCAACUCGCCUACAUGAAGUCGGAAUCGCUAGUAAUCGCGGAUCAGCACGCCGCGGUGAAUACGUUCCCGGGCCCUU
rnacentral:rRNA from 1 species